rnacentral:rRNA from 1 species
GACGUAGGGGGCCAGCGUUGUUCGGAAUUACUGGGUGUAAAGGGUUCGUAGGCGGUUUGCACAGUCAGGCGUGAAAUUCCUGGGCUUAACCUGGGGGCUGCGCUUGAUACGUGUGGACUGGAGUGCGGAAGAGGGUCGUGGAAUUCCCAGUGUAGAGGUGAAAUUCGUAGAUAUUGGGAAGAACACCGGUGGCGAAGGCGGCGACCUGGUCCGUGACUGACGCUGGAG